GGGCCUGGAUACUCAUUACCAAAACUUCGCUCAUGACCUUGCCUCGCUCGCAGGUCCGAGGCUAGAUAGAUCCUGGAAAGUGUCCUGGGACACUUCCAGGAAUCUCAAAGGUAUUAACCCUGUAAAUAUAUCUAAAUUACCGUAAAUACAGCUAUAAUAUACA